AUAAGAUCGACUAAAAUGAACACAGUAAUCAAAAAGGGAAAGAGGAAAUAUCUAUCUGGAAGAGUCGGCGUGGAUCACGACGCACCAGGGAAGAGGCUUCCACCUCAGCAAGUAGAGCCUUCUAGAAGCACCUCCCGGAGAAAAAGCAGUGUUUCCCUUGAGUCCCAACAUCUUAUGCUCCGCUUUUCUUCUCUUGCUGCCUCUGCUGCGGCUUUUGCUGUUGCUGGGGACAGCGCCAUUUUCAGGGGACCAGGGCUCCUUCACAGCGCCGGGCGUUUACCACCUGCACCUGUACUAAGCGGCGCCUGUGUUGAAUCGAAGUUCCUCCCUUGCACAACAAGUCGUUCAUGGAUCCGUAUCACAAACACAAUGGCGCUAGUCCGAGAAGCUGUGCUGAGCAAGGGGAUGCCGAGUGGCCUGACACGGCACAAUUCUCGAGUUUGCUCACAGGAGAGAUCAUCCUCUUCGACUUCAUUGUCGAAUGUAUUCAUUAGGACAGGUCCUGCGUCGACGAACGCAUCAACUCAUUACGGGGGUGGCUCUGCUGCCACUGUCAAGCUCUUCUCGAUGGCCAAUCAGAAAUGUAAGAGCGCCUCGCAGCAGACAAGAAAAUGCGGAAAGUUGGUUUGCAAUGCCAAAGCGAGUCCUAAUGGCAGCGAGGGGCCAAAGAUGGUUGUAGCUAUCACCGGUGCAACGGGAUUUGUUGGCUCUAGACUGGUGGAAAGACUCGUUAAAGAUGGACAUGAAGUUCGAAUUCUGACCCGUUCUGAAACCAGGGCCCGGGAAAUUUUUCCUGAAACAAGGUAUCCGGGUGUGAAGGUAGCAGAGGAAAGCAGGUGGGAUGAACUGAUUCAAGGUUCUACCGGCGUUGUCAACUUGGCUGGUUCCCCUAUUUCCACGAGAUGGACUCCCGAGGUGAAAGCAGAAAUCAAGGACUGCAGGGUUGCAGCUACUAGCAAGGUGGUGCAAGCGAUCAAUUCAGCACCGAAAGAGGCGCGACCUGCUGUUCUUGUUAGUUCGACCGCAGUUGGAUUCUACGGGACAAGCGAGACGUCUGCGUUUGAUGAGACAAGUCCUUCAGGGGAUGAUUAUCUUGCCGAGGUUUGUAAAGCAUGGGAAGCAAGUGCUCGCAAGGUGCGCCAAGGAACCAGACUCGUUCUCCUUCGCACUGGAGUCGUGCUGGAUGGACAGGAGGGUGGUAGUCUAGCCAAGAUGGUUCCUAUCUUCUCAAUUUUCGCGGGUGGACCACUAGGCUCUGGAAAGCAAUGGUUUUCAUGGGUGCAUCGCGACGAUCUAGUGUCUAUGAUCAUUGAAUCUCUCAGAAAUCCGGCGUAUGAAGGUGUAAUUAAUGGAACAGCACCAAAUCCAGUGCGAAUGGCGGAGAUGUGCGACCGACUAGGCGCCAUAUUGGGGCGCCCUUCUUGGCUUCCUGUUCCUGAGUUUGCCCUCAAGGCCAUUCUUGGUGAAGGAGCCACUCUUGUUUUGGAAGGACAAAGAGUGUUGCCAAAGAGAGCACAAGAACUCGGGUUUUCUUUCAAGUAUCGCUACAUUUCUGAUGCUUUGAAAGCCAUCUUGACCAGCUAGAACCCAUAUCUUGCAUAAGCCGAUGUGGGCUGUUACUUUCACAAAUCAUUGGUAAUUAACUAUACAAGAACUGCUGUUUUGAGAUCUGAAUGUAAGACAUAGUCAUUACGAGGGCGUCAGUGAUUCAUGGGCACAAGCUUGGAUACAAAUUCAAAGUUUCUUAUCUCUUUGCUAUUUAUUUCAUACCUAUAUUAGGAAGUGUUGAAUUACUUCUAUGUAUGUAUGUAUGUAUAUAUAUAUAUAUAUAUGCAUUUUGUUUUAGUGAGUAUGGUAUUGCCGAACACCCAGAAAAACACACAGGAUUUGGAGAGUAAAUAUGGUAGGGCGUGAAAAUAUUAAUAUGUACUUUUUUUGGAUUGUGACUGUCAUUGUGGACUGUAUUAAGGUCAUAAUGUCUAGAAAUACCUCGUUGGCUUGCUAUAAGAUUUUGACAAUCAUAGCCUUGUUUCAAGUCUUAAAGGUUUUGUGGUACAAUCUAAAAAGGUUUUUUGCAAUGCUA